rnacentral:tRNA from 5 species
GCCGCUAUGGUGAAAUUGGUAGACCGCGC